UACAGAAGUCUCAAGCGUUGUUCGGAUUCAUUGGGCGUAAAGGGUGCGUAGGCGGCGCGGUAAGUCGGGUGUGAAAUCUUGGAGCUUAACUCCGAAACUGCAUUCGAUACUGCCGUGCUUGAGGACUGGAGAGGAGACUGGAAUUUACGGUGUAGCGGUGAAAUGCGUAGAUAUCAGGAGGAACACCGGUGGCGAAGGCGGUUCUCUGGGCCUUACCUGACGCUGAGGAGCGAAAGCGUGGGGGAGCGAACAGG
rnacentral:rRNA from 1 species